rnacentral:rRNA from 1 species
AGAGUUUGAUCAUGGCUCAGAACGAACGCUGGCGGCAGGCCUAACACAUGCAAGUCGAGCGCCCCGCAAGGGGAGCGGCGGACGGGUGAGUAACGCGUGGGAACGUGCCCUUUGCUACGGAAUAGCCUCGGGAAACUGGGAGUAAUACCGUAUGUGCCCUUCGGGGGAAAGAUUUAUCGGCAAAGGAUCGGCCCGCGUUGGAUUAGGUAGUUGGUGGGGUAAUGGCCUACCAAGCCGACGAUCCAUAGCUGGUUUGAGAGGAUGAUCAGCCACACUGGGACUGAGACACGGCCCAGACUCCUACGGGAGGCAGCAGUGGGGAAUCUUAGACAAUGGGCGCAAGCCUGAUCUAGCCAUGCCGCGUGAGCGAUGAAGGCCUUAGGGUUGUAAAGCUCUUUCGUGGGGGAAGAUAAUGACUGUACCCCAAGAAGAAGCCCCGGCUAACUCCGUGCCAGCAGCCGCGGUAAUA